rnacentral:rRNA from 1 species
CAAUAGCGUAUAUUAACGUUGUUGCAGUUAAAAAGCUCGUAGUUGGAUUUCUGGAGGGAGCGUCGGCCCGUAUUUACGAGUGCGUGACGUCUCUGUCCAUCCUUGCGGGAAGGCACGGCAUUGAUUUGUUGUGUCGGAUCGCAUCAUUUACUGUGAGAAAAUUAGAGUGUUCAAAGCAGGCUUUCGCUUGAAUACAUUAGCAUGGAAUAAUAAGAUAGGACUUUGGUGCUAUUUUGUUGGUUGAGCCUAAAGUAAUGAUUAAUAGGGAUAGUUGGGGGCACCUGUAUUGCGUUGUCAGAGGUGAAAUUCUUGGAUUUACGCAAGACAAACAGCUGCGAAAGCGUCUGCCAAGGAUGUUUUCAUUAA